ACAUGCCUACAACAUAGCAUUAAUGCACUCGAUCCCAUUAGAAAUCCACAGUUAAGCACGCUCAAGCUAGAGUAGUAUUGGGAUGGGUGAUCGCUUGGGAAGUCCUAUUGUUUUACAUUCC
rnacentral:rRNA from 1 species